GCGCCCGUAGCUCAGCUGGAUAGAGCGCUGCCCUCCGAAGGCAGAGGUCACAAGUUCGAAUCUUGUCGGGCGCGCCA
rnacentral:tRNA from 3 species